GGUGGGGAGGCCUAAUGGUUAAAGCAUUCUCUCAUCAUGCAGAAAACCCGGGCUCGUUUCCCCACAUGGUUACAAUGUGUUAAGCCCAUUUCUGGUGUCCUCCGCCGUGAUAUUGCGAGAAUAUUGUUUAAAGUGGUGUAAA